CCGACAAGCGGAGGAACAUGUGGUUCAAUUCGAUGAUACGCGAGGAACCUUUACCCGGGCUUUGAAAUGCAAUCGACCGAUGAGGAAACUCAUCUUCCAGCAAUGGCGAUUGUGUAGGUGCUGCAUGGUUGUCGUCAGCUCGUGCCGUGAGGUGUCGGCUUAAGUGCCAUAACGAGCGCAACCCUUAUCGUUAGUUGCCAGCGGGUGAUGCCGGGAACUCUAGCGAGACUGCCACCGUAAGGUGUGAGGAAGUGGGAUGACGUCAAAUCAGCACGGCCCUUACGUCCGGGGCGACACACGUGUUACAAUGGGGGGUACAGAGGGUUGCUACACAGCGAUGUGAUGCUAAUCUCUAUAAAGUCUCUCUCAGUUCGGAUUGGAGUCUGCAACUCGACUCCAUGAAGUUGGAAUCGCUAGUAAUCGCGGAUCAGCAUGCCGCGGUGAAUACGUUCCCGGGCCUU
rnacentral:rRNA from 1 species